UCUUGCUCACUGCUGCUGUGAUUCUUACUUAAGGUUGUAUCUUGGUUUAAGGUUGUCUCUGUGUAGCUGAGGACUGAAGAAUUGAUGCUUUUGAACUGUGGUGUUGGAGAGGACUCUUGAGAGUGCCUUGGACAGCAAGGAGAUCCAACCAGUCCUUCCUAAAGGAGAUUAAUCCUGGGUGUUCAUUGGAAGGACUGAUGCUGAAGCUGAAACUCCAUUACUCUGGCCAUCCGAUGCAAAGAGCCGACUCAUUAGAAAAGACCCUGAUGCUGGGAAAGAUUGAAGGCAGGAGGAGAAGGAGACGACAGAGGAUGAGAUGGUUGGAUGGCAUCACCAAUUCAAUGGACAUGAGUUGAGCAAUCUCUGGGAGCUGGUGAUGGACAGGGAAGCCUGGCAUGCUGCAAUCCAUGGGGUUUCGAAGAGUUGGACACUACUGAGCGACUGAACUGAACUGUGUAGCAAUAUCAGGCCUUUCUGGCCAAGGCUGUCAUGGUGCCAGAGGUCCCUGGCGAGUCCUCUUUCUCAAGCUACAGGCGAGAGUCUGUUUGCUUAGCUGGUCAGAAGAGGGUCAUGUCGAUUCAAAAUGAUGAGAGAGGGAGCUUCCCCAUCACCGAUGCCAACUUGAAACUUGAACCUCAACUAAUACAGACGUUGUAAAGCUGGUGAUUCAGGCAGAGAAACCACAUGAGGCAUACAGGGCACAGUGCAGGAUGGAAGGAGGCUUCAAAAAUGGGAAAGGUAGGAAGUGAAGCCCCAGGGGCAGGUGGACUCUUGUCUAGGUGUGACAGGCCAGGCAUGGGAACCUUGUUCUAAACCCCCAAAUGAGCCACUGCGUCUAUGACCAGUCUGUGAUCUGAUUUCAGAUUUCAUCUAUAGGUGUCCCAUUGGGUUUUCACAGGGAGAAUGCACAGGGUGUGUGUGUGUGUGUGUGUGUGUGUAUGUGUGUGUGUGUUACUGCCCAUGUGUUCUUGAACGUGUAUGUUUGUGAGUGGGGGCAUGUGCAUU
ensembl:lncRNA